rnacentral:lncRNA from 1 species
UAAUUCAUUAGGUGCAGGAGGGGUGGGGUGAGAGAGUACGAGGGGUCAACUAUGAUUCUCUGGUUUCUGGCAUGAACAAGUGGAUGGAUGGUGUGUCAUUUGCUAGGAUGAGCAAUAAUUGAGUUGGUGUGUGUGGUGGGGGGGGUUAAGAUCAAUAAUCCCAGUUUUUCGUUUUGAACAGAUUAAAUCUGAGAAGCCUAAGAGACAUCCAAAAGCAGGCAUCCAGUAGAAAGUUCCAGAGACUGUGUAGGAGCUCAGAAGAAAGACCUGGGCCGGGCAUCUGAGUUUGGAAGCCUUUGCCGUAUGGAAGGUGCUAUGGAAGCCACAGCGGAGGAACCAGGAUCACUGCUUCUGGGACCUUCCUGGGGUCCUACAGGACAACUUGGUCGUCCCCCAGGGCACAGCAGGCUUAUGGCUGGGUUACAGCUUUUCUCGUGUAUGCUUGAGGACGGGGAGUCCCACGGCGUCUGCGCAGCAGCACUGCGUCUGACACGCGGAGCAGGCCCCGAGUGAAGCCCUGACAGUUCCCAGACCCUCUGCAUUAUCACCCAAGGAAUCCAGCUUCCAGGACCAGCCCGGGGUAGGAGAAACAGAAAUGGAGACAGAGCCCAGCUCCCAUCAGCCCACGGAUACACAUCAAGCCGGGAGGUCAGAGGUGACGGGACGGGUGGGGGUGGGGGCGGGGAGGCACCUGGAUUCCUCUCUCCCAGCUCCCAGGAGCCUCAGGUAUUUUUUAAUUAAGCCGAGGAGAAGCAACAGGGACCCUCUGGAAUGUAAACAUCAGAUAAGCCCAGGCCCCCCUCCUCUCCAGGGAGCUUCCAUUUUGUGUCUUCCAGGGUGAACACCACAUUCUUUGCCGGACCUAGUUCCCGCCCCUCUGGUUCCUGCGGGUCCCCUCUCCCGAGGGGGGGGAAGGAGUCUGCCUCUCAAGUUCUUUCCAUGUCCCCUCCCAGCCUUUGUCUCGGUCUUUGGGCCUUUUUGUAACCCCAGGGGCUUCGUAGUCUCAGGCGGGGCCUGUGCUUGGGAACCUGGAGGGAGACCUCAGAUUUUAAUCAGUAUGUGGGUAUCUCUUUGGGUUCGUGCUGUGGGAUUUUGACCUCUGCCGUGGGCCUCUGUACCCUGUGUCUUCGGGAUGGUACAGCGCUCCCCAGCACUGGGCCAAUCCAAUGCGAACAGCUAAUGCCAUCCAACACGUGGCGCUGGGCACCCCAAGUACUGAGAGAAUAGUCCGGGCAGGUGGCGCUAAUCAGAGGUGCCCAGAGGAGGGGGCAUCGGCAGCCAGCGGGUGCCGCGGUUACAGAGAAGGCCUCAGGGAGCAGGCGGGGUUCGCCUACUUGAGGGAAGCGUGGGAAAAGGGGGACAGAGAGGUGUGGGCAGGAGGCAGCGUGGGAACCAUUGCUUGGGAUCAGCUCAGGUGAAGCAGAGGGUUUAGAGAAGGGGGAGAUGGGAGAGUUAAAGGCUGAGACAAUUAUGGGGGUGGUGGGAGAGAUGGAAUGCAGGGCUAAGGAGGCUGGAUUUUAUACCCUCAACAGUGGGAAGACCUUCAAGGUGUAUACCAUUGGGGGAGGGAUUAGAGAUGGGGGACAGAUGCCCAUUUAAAGGUAAUUUGGGGGAUCCCUGGGGGGCUCAGCGGUUUGGCGCCUGCCUUUGGCCCAGGGCGCGAUUCUGGAGACCCUGGAUCGAAUCCCACGUCGGGCUCCCGGUGCAUGGAGCCUGCUUCUCCCUCUGCCUGUGUCUCUGCCUCUCUCUCUCUCUCUCUCUCUGUGACUAUCAUAAAUGAAUAAAAAAUUAAAAAAAAAAAAGGUAAUUCGGGCAGCAGGGCGAGGGUCCCAUGCUCUCUUACCACCCCACACCUCCCCCUCGGCUGGUACCCUUGUCUCAGCCAGCCCAGCAGUCCCUGGAGUGAAGAUCUGGAAUCCGAGUGACUCUCAGACCCUGCGUCCACAUUGCCUAGGGGUUCUGUCCACAGUAAAGCUUGGACCUCAAAGCCUUUCUGCCUUUCAGGUAGCGUAGGACGGGAUGAACUGUUCCGGGCCGGAGUGCCUGGCAUCCUUCAGGGAAGGGUCCAGUUGAUUGUGGGCACCUGGCUCUCACCUUGGCCGGGAGAUGGUUUGGAACAAGCUCACUGGGUCCCUGGGGACACGCUGGAGGUUCAGUCACCUACAGAGGCGCCCCAAAGUGUCCCCACUUCUCCUUGUGAUCCACAGACACAAGCUUCACUGACCCCCACUUUUCCUCCCUUCUCCUCCUCCCUCAGGGGUCAGGUCUUGGGAAGAGUGCACUGGAAGGCAGAGCCACGCUGAGUCCUGGGGUCUGGGAGAAAGUCUCAGGGACAGCGGAUGGAGGCGGUGACCUCUCCAGGGUUGUUCUUCUGGGGGCACUGGCUGGGCGCGUUGGCUUCCGUCUCUGGGAAUCUGGGCCUGUGCCGUCUGGAGCUGCUCCUACACGAAGGGAUUCAUCUUUCUCUUUGCCCCAAGGUGGGCCACUUGCCUUUCUUCAUGUCCUGGUUCUCCCCACUUACCCAUUUCUUCUUCAGGGCAGGGCUGGAAAGGUGGGGGACACGCGGCUCAGCUCUGAGCUUGGUGCAGUGGUGCUCUCUGCAGGCCCUUCUGUCUUGGGGCCGGGGUGUCAUUUGGCCCCUGGGACUCUGGGACCACAGAUGCCUCCAUCUCUCUCUC